ACUCUCCCGAUUCCCGUUCCCAUCAGAUGUGAACACUGGUCUUGGUGGUCAUAAAAGGAAGGAAAGUAAUACAGAAGCUGGCCUCACAUCAUUGUAGUGUGGUAUAUAUCACAUGGGCUAGUUUCAAACAAAG